AUUGAACGCUGGCGGCAGGCUUAACACAUGCAAGUCGAGCGGGGGAAGGUAGCUUGCUACCGGACCUAGCGGCGGACGGGUGAGUAAUGCUUAGGAAUCUGCCUAUUAGUGGGGGACAACAUCUCGAAAGGGAUGCUAAUACCGCAUACGUCCUACGGGAGAAAGCAGGGGAUCUUCGGACCUUGCGCUAAUAGAUGAGCCUAAGUCGGAUUAGCUAGUUGGUGGGGUAAAGGCCUACCAAGGCGACGAUCUGUAGCGGGUCUGAGAGGAUGAUCCGCCACACUGGGACUGAAACACGGCCCAGACUCCUACGGGAGGCAGCAGUGGGGAAUAUUGGACAAUGGGGGGAACCCUGAUCCAGCCAUGCCGCGUGUGUGAAGAGGGCCUUAUGGUUGUAAAGCACUUUAAGCGAGGAGGAGGCUACUCUAGUUAAUACCUAGGGAUAGUGGACGUUACUCGCAGAAUAAGCACCGGCUAACUCUGUGCCAGCAGCCGCAGUAA
rnacentral:rRNA from 1 species